UACGGGGGGAGCAAGCGUUGUUCGGAUUUACUGGGCGUAAAGGGCGCGUAGGCGGCCAGCGCAAGUCAGUUGUGAAAUCUCCGGGCUUAACUCGGAAAGGUCAACUGAUACUGCGCGGCUAGAGUGCAGAAGGGGCAACUGGAAUUCUCGGUGUAGCGGUGAAAUGCGUAGAUAUCGAGAGGAACACCUGCGGCGAAGGCGGGUUGCUGGGCUGUAACUGACGCUGAGGCACGAAAGUGUGGGGAUCAAACAGG
rnacentral:rRNA from 1 species